GGAUCGAUGCCACGUCUACGGUAGCUCUCUAAGAGCUUUGACCGGCGAUGCUAUGAUUGGUCCAAUAAUAAUUCUCUGUUUCGCAUUUUGAUAGGAAUCUGUAGACCUUAUUUUUGAUUGGUCUAUUGAGCCGUUUUGUGCGAUUACAUUU